rnacentral:rRNA from 1 species
UACGUAGGGUGCAAGUGUUGUCCGGAAUUAUUGGGCGUAAAGAGCUCGUAGGCGGUCUGUCGCGUCGGAUGUGAAAACCCAGGGCUCAACCCUGGGCCUGCAUUCGAUACGGGCAGACUAGAGUUCGGUAGGGGAGACUGGAAUUUACGGUGUAGCGGUGAAAUGCGUAGAUAUCGUAAGGAAGACCAGUGGCGAAGGCGGGUCUCUGGACAGUUCCUGACGCUGAGGAGCGAAAGCGUGGGGAGCGAACAGG